rnacentral:lncRNA from 1 species
GGUACAUCUGUAUCCAGAAUAACAUCUGCUGUCUGUUCUCCAGUGUUCCAGAAGUCCUAGUGGAAUGGGAUCAUAGCCGAAAGGAGAACCUGCCUUGGUUUGGUCAGAAAAGGGUAUCGUGCAUGACAGGUUGAAAUGUCAACAAUAGGAAACUACGAGCUCUAAAACAGAAAGGCUUUGUGAAACACCAUUCAGGACAAACACACAGAGGUGAGAGAAUGGCUUACAGAGGAAGAGGCUGUGAUACCACACCUACUGCAAGGAGGAUGAGGAAUAUUCUAGCCAUGUGCACAGGAAGAAGAGCAACAAGAUAUGGAGAUCAGACAGGCAACCUCUGCUAGAGAAUGUGCCACAUUUUUGUGUCACUUUAAUAACUGCUUCAUCAGUGUUAUCCAAAAUUGUCCAUCUUAUCACUAUUAUAGACAUUCAAAUAUUAAAACUAUGUUAAAAUCAUGUUUUUAUCGGUCUCUGUUAUAAUCUCUGAAAUUUUUGAUUGACAUGAACUGUGCUUAGUAUAUCUUUUUAUUUCAAAUCCAGACCAGUUUUUGGAUUAUUUUAACAAAUGAUGUAUUAAGACAAAAGAAACAGGGGCUGGCCCUGUGGCGCAGCAGUUAAGUUCACACGUUCUGCUUCUAGGUGGCCUGGGGUUCGCUGGUUCGGAUCCCAGGUGCGGACAUGACAAUGCUUGGCAGAUCAUGCUGUGGUAGGUGUCCCACAUAUACAGUAGAGGAAGAUGGGCAUGGAUGUUAGCUCAGGGCCAGGCUUCCUCAGCAAAAAGAGGAGGACCGGCAGUAGUUAGCUCAGGGCUAAUCUUC